GACGAACGCUGGCGGCGUGCUUAACACAUGCAAGUCGAGCGGUAAGGCCCUUUCGGGGGUACACGAGCGGCGAACGGGUGAGUAACACGUGGGUGACCUGCCCUCAGCUCUGGGAUAAGCCUGGGAAACCGGGUCUAAUACCGGAUAUGACUCCAUGACGCAUGUUGUGGGGUGGAAAGCCUUGUGCGGCUGAGGAUGGGCCCGCGGCCUAUCAGCUUGUUGGUGGGGUGAGGCCUACCAAGGCGACGACGGGUAGCCGGCCUGAGAGGGCGACCGGCCACACUGGGACUGAGACACGGCCCAGACUCCUACGGAGGCAGCAGUGGGGAAUCUUGCGCAAUGGG
rnacentral:rRNA from 1 species